rnacentral:rRNA from 1 species
GGUGGUGCAUGGCCGUUCUUAGUUGGUGGAGUGAUUUGUCUGGUUUAUUCCGAUAACGAGCGAGACUCUAGCUUAUUAAAUAGAUGCCGGAUAAUUUUGUCCGGACAGACUUCUUAGAAGGAUAAGCGGUGUUUAGCCGCACGAGAUUGAGCAAUAACAGGUCUGUGAUGCCCUUAGAUGUCCGGGGCUGCACGCGCGCUACAUUGGAAGAAUCAGCGUGUCUAUCCUAAUCUGAAAGGAUUUGGUAAACCCUUGAAAAUCUUUCGUAAUUGGGAUAGGGAAUUGUAAUUAUUUCCCUUGAACGAGGAAUUCCUAGUAAGUGUGAAUCAUCAGCUCACGUUGAUUACGUCCCUGCCCUUUGUA